rnacentral:rRNA from 1 species
CCAGACUCCUACGGGAGGCAGCAGUGGGGAAUAUUGCACAAUGGGGGAAACCCUGAUGCAGCGACGCCGCGUGAGUGAAGAAGUAUUUCGGUAUGUAAAGCUCUAUCAGCAGGGAAGAAAAUGACGGUACCUGAUUAAGAAGCCCCGGCUAACUACGUGCCAGCAGCCGCGGUAAUACGUAGGGGGCAAGCGUUAUCCGGAUUUACUGGGUGUAAAGGGAGCGUAGACGGCAGCGCAAGUCUGAAGUGAAAUGCCGGGGCUUAACCCCGGAACUGCUUUGGAAACUGUGCAGCUAGAGUGCAGGAGAGGUAAGUGGAAUUCCUAGUGUAGCGGUGAAAUGCGUAGAUAUUAGGAGGAACACCAGUGGCGAAGGCGGCUUACUGGACUGUAACUGACGUUGAGGCUCGAAAGCGUGGGGAGCAAACAGGAUUAGAUACCCCAGUA